rnacentral:tRNA from 3 species
AUCUUUCUAGUAUCAAUGAGUAUAAGUGGCUUCCAACCACACGGUCUUGGUCAAAAUCCAAGGAAAGAUA